GAUGAAGAACGUAGCGAAAUGCGAUAAGUAAUGUGAAUUGCAGAAUUCAGUGAAUCAUCGAAUCUUUGAACGCACAUUGCGCCCAUUAGUAUUCUAGUGGGCAUGCCUGUUCGAGCGUCAUUAAGUCCACUUAAGCCCUGCUUAGUGUUGGGAGACUGCUCCAGCGGUGCUACCCUGUAGCUACCCUGCAGCUCCUCAAAGACAGCGGCGGAGUUGUGGUAUCCUCUGAGCUUAGUAACUUGUUCUAGCUUUCGAGUACACCACUUCCCCUGCCGUAAAACCCUUAAUUUUUAAUGGUUGACCUCGGAUCAGGUAGGAAUACCCGCUGAGCUUAAGCAUAUCAAUAAGCGGGAGGA
rnacentral:misc_RNA from 1 species